rnacentral:siRNA from 1 species
CAUAAAAGAGGGAUGCAACACGAG